GGGGUUCUAACUCAGUGGAAGAGCGCUUGCCUGGCAUGUAUGAGGCACUGGGUUCAAUUCUCAGCACCACA
rnacentral:tRNA from 1 species